CUCUAAUCAAACCCGCGCCUCUCUCCUCUUUCCCUCAUUCUGAAACCCUAAACUUAAGCUUAUCCCUUCUCUUCUCCCUCAACCGCCGCCGGCAACUCUUUUCCCCACAAUCACCGCCGCGGUCGGCCACAUUUGGGCAAAAGAAACCUACCAUCUUUAUCUUCUCAACCUUUUCUAUCUUUUCAUCCAAAUAGAAUCACAAAAAGAGGAGAUUGAAAAAUGGGUGUUCUCCUUGAAACUUAUCUUUUGCUCUUCUUCUCUGCAGAAAACACAUAAACUUCUGUUUUGCUAUUCUCUUCUUUAUAGAUGUGAGAGUUUAGCAUAGCAGUAUGGAGAGGUAAACUCCGGUUAACAUUUAAUUUAAGGCUAUUUGAAUGGAAUGCUUUAGAUGAGAAGCAGAAAAAUGACUGAUCAUGUUCGCAAAGCUUCAGAUGAGAAGCAGAAAAAUGAUUGAUCAUGUUCACAAAGCCUUGAAACUUUUGAAGCCAACUUGUGCAGUUUGGCCUACUAUUAUUUUUCGUACGAUCAUUUGUCCUUUCAGGACACGUGUUACACUCAAAAGAGAUGGUGUGACGCUUGAUUUGGUGCUUCCACCUACAAAAGUUAGCAACUUGAUUUUUGGUUGAACUUGGAUUGAUUCACUGGGGGAGAUGGUCCUGACAAAUAUGACUACGGGGGACAAAGUCGUGCUUUAAUUUCAACCGUGUGGCUACCGUGUGGCUGGUUUGGAGCUGGCCGAUAUGAAGAGGAUGGGACGUGUGUAUAAUUCAUCUGAAGAACUGAAGAUUCUAAUAACUGGAAAAUGGAAUGAAGCUUUUAGAUAUCAAGUCUGUGACCCUGAAGGAGAACCACUUCAGGAACUGAACUCAAAGAGCAACCAUGACACAACUAACCAUUGAUGAGAAAGAGCUAAUGGAGAAGUUUAUCAAUGAAGAUUAUUGUGUUUGUCCAAGAGGAAUUCGUGACCUUAUGUUAUACUUCAAGAAAGAGUACAAUAUUCCUUCUAUUUACAUCACUGAAAGUGUACUCCGAUUAUAGUGUGAAGAUAAAGCUUUGUUUGAAGCAUCAUUACCAUUUCACUGUGGAGUGUCAAGAUUACUCACAUGACUGGUUGAAUUUGAAAAGGCUGGUAUUUUGAUGCAGUAUGUAUUUGCAGGAAGUGGAUAAGAGGAAACAUAUGAGAAGUUCAUUGUGAAAUAAAAGGAGUCUGUUGAAUACUAAAGAUGGGCGUAAACAUAAAGAAAAAUAAUCCAGUGGUAAGUAAUAAGUUUAUAGAAGCACAAUGAGAUUAUGAGCAAAGAAAGAUUUCAACUUGGGUAUUAUGUUCUUUGGACAUAGUUUAUGGGUUGAAUGAGACUAUGGGCAAAGAAUAUAUUUCAAUGGCAAAGCAAUACUCGGAAGUGGAAGGAAAUGGAAAAGGAUUGAAAUGCAUUGCAACAAAAUCAGUAUAUAUAGCAAAAUGAAACCAAUUAAGACAAACUCUCUUGGUAUUAAUAAUAUUAAUAUAUUACAACUUGGUUGUCCACAUGUAUAGCCUUUUCAGUAAAGUUGAAGUAUUUUUAUUUUCCCAAGCAAAAUCACGGUCUACAAUGCAGACUUUAUGUAUAGGAAACUUAUAGCAAAAGUUAGGAAACUUGUGCUUCUAUCUCACAAGUUACAUACCAAAUCUUGUGCCAAGUGUACGGUUAAAUGCAGCAAGCAUCAUUACCCCUAAGCCUAGGAAGAAAAUCUCAUAAGUUACAUAACAAAUCUUGUGCCAAGUGUAUGGUUUAAAUGCAGCAAGCAUCAUUACCCCUAAGCCUAGGAAACGUGUGCUCCUUUACCAAUGCAAUUUUCCUUCAAGCAAGAAGCAACUCGACUCCCAAGGUAUGACAUAUGGGCUGAAGGACAAUAAAGUCAUUUCUACUUAGUUAAUACCUAAUUAAAAUGUUAUUAAGCAAGCCAUCUCUAACUCAUCGUCACCAAAAAUCAUGCAUCGUUAUUAAAUGUCUCAUAUAUUACAAAUAUAUAUAUAUAUAUAUAUAUAUAUAUAUAUAAUUAGAAAUACCAAUUUUUGAAAUAUAUUUGCAAUUUCAAGCGGACUCUUCCGUUUCUGCUGCAUUCACGACUAAAGAAACAAACAUGUUGGUUUUCAAAAAAAUUUUUACAUCAUGAUAAGAGCUCAUUAUUCUUCUUGCCAAUGUCAGCGCCUAUUAUUAGGCCUCCCUUUUUGAUGACAUCGCGUAACAUAGCUAACGACUCAUAAACAUCAUGGUUGGAUCGGAUCAACCUAGGGUUUUAGGUUGAUUCGGUCCGACCAUGACGUUUAUGAGCCGUUUACUAUGUUACGCGAUGUCAUAAAAAAUGGAAGCCUGAUAAUGGGCGCUGACAUUGCCAAGAAGAAUAAUGAGCGCUUAUCAUGAUGUAAAACAUGUUUGUUUCUUUAGUCUCGUGAAGAUGCAACAGAAACGAAAGAGUCCCCUUGCAAUUGCGAAUAUAUUGCAAAAAUUGAUAUUUCUAAUUAUAUAUAUAUAUAUAUAUAUAUUUUGUAAUAUAUGAGACAUUUAAUAACGAUGCAUGAUUUUUUUAUUUUUUUUUUGUAAUAAUGGAGCCACUUACAUAUAAGAUGAUCCAACUGUAAUCAUUUAAUCUUAUCACCAUGGCUCGGUCUUAUCAUUGGUGACGAUGAGUUAGAGAUGGUUUGCUUAAUAACAUUUUAAUUAGGUAUUAACUAAGUAGAAUAUUGUCUGUAUGGUUGCUGAUAUUGCUAGGACAAGGGCGAGUUUGGCAGUUCAAAGGUCGAUCUAAAAACAUUUAUUUGUUUGCAUGAUCAUCAAAUUAAUAUAAUCUAAACAAUUUGAUUUGAUUUGCAGUUGGCUGAGGAAAAACUUAAGACUGAAAGCAAAGAAAUGCAGCAACGUCAGGGUGAGAAACAUUUGUUGUCAGCUGAGAGUAUCGUGUGGGUAAUUACUUUAUAUUACAUAUAUGGCUAAGUAUUAUUACUAUUAAUUUAGUAAAACAAAUUAUUAUUAUGAUUAUUAUAUGAGUGUGACUUUUUUAAAUCUGAGUUCAAAAGAUGGCACAUCCGUAGAAAUUUGAGUGUUUAACUAUUGUUAAACAUUUAUUGUACCUGUCCAAAAAAGUUCAGACGAAACAGCACGAACAAUGCAUAUUUCUAAAAUGAUUUAACAGUUGAACUAUCAUUCAUUUCACAAUGUGCCUGUAAAGAAAAUACUUUUCUUUUUCUCUGUCUAUAAACUGACCUAUUUCUUAAGUAUCACAAUAAGUCUAUGACUUAAUUAGCAGAGACACAUAACAAGAUAAGACAAAUUUAUUUGUAGGCAUCAACCAGCGUCAAUAUAAAACAGAAUUUGAUCUUCAAAGUAACUAAGCUUAUAUUGACGCUGGCUGAUGCCUACAAAUAGAUUUGUCUUAUCUUGUUAUGUGUCUCUGCUAAUUAAGUCAUAGACUUAUUGUGAUACUUAAGAAAUAGGUCAGUUUAUAGACAGAGAAAAAGAAAAGUAUUUUCUUUACAGGCACAUUGUGAAAUGAAUGAUAGUUCAACUGUUAAAUCAUUUUAGAAAUAUGCAUUGUUCGUGCUGUUUCGUCUGAACUUUUUUGGACAGGUACAAUAAAUGUUUAACAAUAGUUAAACACUCAGAUUUCUACGGAUGUGCCAUCUUUUGAACUCAGAUUUAAAAAAGUCACACUCAUAUAAUAAUCAUAAUAAUAAUUUGUUUUACUAAAUUAAUAGUAAUAAUACUUAGCCAUAUAUGUAAUAUAAAGUACUUACCCACACGAUACGCUCAGCUGACAACAAAUGUUUACCACUUUGACGUUGCUGCAUUUCUUUGCCUUCAGUCUUAAGCUUUUCCUCAGCCAACUGCAAAUCAAAUCAAAUUGUUUAGAUUAUAUUAAUUUGAUAAUCCUGCAAACAAAUAAAUGGAGCAGAUGGUAUCAUCUUCAAAUAAAGAAGUCCCGAAACUUUUGAUUCUUCCCGUAUAUUCUCAGCUGACUUGCAAGCAAAGAUAUUUCAGAAAGCUAAAGAUGGUGCGCACAAAUGCAUUGUGGCCACUAAUAUUGCUGAGACAUCACUAACCGUGGAUGGUAUCUUCUAUGUUAUAGACACGGGCUAUGGUAAAAUGAAGGUGUACAACCCUAGGAUGGGUAUGGACGCUCUACAAGUCUUCCCGAUUAGCCAGGCUGCUGCUAACCAGCGUGCUGGUCGAACUGGCCCUGGGACAUGCUAUCGGUUGUAUACAGAGAGUGCUUACCUAAAUGAAAUGUUGGCCAGUCCUGUUCCAGAGAUUCAGAGAACUAACCUUGGCAAUCUGGUCUUGUUGCUGAAAUCUCUUAAAGUUGAAAAUUUACUCAACUUUGAUUUCAUCGAUCCACCUCCGCGGGAUAAUAUUCUUAAUUCUAUGUACCAGUUGUUGAUGUUGGGUGCCCUUAACAAUGCGGGGAGAUUGACUGAACUUGGCUGGAAAAUGGUUGAGUUUCCACUGGAUCCUCCACUUGCCAAGAUGCUUUUGAUGGGUGAGCAUUUCGGGUGUCUUGAGGAGGUUCUGACCAUAGUUUCCAUGCUUUCAGUACCAUCUGUUUUCUUUAGGCCAAAGGACCGAGCAGAGGAGAGUGAUGCUGCACGCGAAAGAUUUUUUGUGCCAGAAUCUGAUCAUUUAACCCUUUACAAUGUCUAUCAGCAAUGGAAACAACAUGAUUACAGAGGUGAUUGGUGCAAUGACCAUUUUUUCAAGUUAAAGGUCUAAGAAAGGCUAGAGAGGUGAUGUCCCAGCUGCUUGAUAUUCUCAUGGUUCAUACUCAUGUCAGUGUGCAAUCAUCUGGUAACGAUUAUGAUAUCCUUGCAGAAAACGUGGGAAACCGACUGUUCUUUGCAGGUGAGGCCACUUCUAGGCAAUAUCCAGCCACUAUGCAUGGUGCUUUCAUGAGUGGAUUAAGAGAAGCUUCUCGCAUUUACCAGUUAAUCCCUGUUCAGCAGCCUUGUCCUAAGAAGUCCUUGUCUAAGAAUAUAGCACACAACAGCGGUAUCCUGGUUAAUUUAUUCAAGCGGCCUAAUUUGGAAAUUGGAAAUUUUGCUUUCAUAUGUGAUCCUUUACAAGAUGAUUCACAAUCGAAGGCGAUUAUGAAAUUCACUUUUGGUGGUAUUGACGAAAGUUACAAGGAGAUUUACACUAUUUUAUCCCUUGAACAGAUGGAUCAAAUGCAGGAAAUCACUGGAGGAGAUGAAAAUAGGUUGUUAUAUUUGACAAAAAACCUCGGGUUGAAGCUAAUGGGUUUGAGUGCUUUACUCAUUGCUGGUAAUGAUGUAAUAGCUAGCGUUGCUGCCUCCCGAAAUGUAGAUCAAAGAACCGAAAGAAAAAUUCCCCAUAAUCCAAAGAAGAAAUAGUUUGCAUAUGGGGGUGCUUGUUAUCUAGUUCUGACUUGAAGUCUUGUAAUAGAGGAUAAUCAAAUAAUUGGAUUUUACAGGCAAACUUGUUUACCAUACUUAUAGUUGUAUCAUAUUUAUUUCAAAUUUUCAAUAAUCCCUUCAUUGGUUCCAACACCAAAUCAAGGAGAAUAUCAAAUUAAACAUA